rnacentral:rRNA from 1 species
UGGGGAAUAUUGCACAAUGGGCGCAAGCCUGAUGCAGCCAUGCCGCGUGUAUGAAGAAGGCCUUCGGGUUGUAAAGUACUUUCAGCGGGGAGGAAGGGAGUAAAGUUAAUACCUUUGCUCAUUGACGUUACCCGCAGAAGAAGCACCGGCUAACUCCGUGCCAGCAGCCGCGGUAAUACGGAGGGUGCAAGCGUUAAUCGGAAUCACUGGGCGUAAAGCGCACGCAGGCGGUUUGUUAAGUAAGAUGUGAAAUCCUCGGGCUCAACCUGGGAACUGCAUCUGGUACUGGCAAGGUUGAGGCUCGUAAAGGGGGGUAGAAUUCCAGGUGUAACGGUGAAAUGCGUAGAGAUCGGGAGGAAUACCGGUUGCGAAGGCGGGCCCCUGGACGAUAACUGACGCUCAGGUGGGAAAGGGGGGGGAGCAAACAGG